GAAAAAAAAAAAAAACAUUAGCUUCAUCAUCAUCAACGAAAUUUUCGUGAAGGAACUAAGAGUGGUUGCCUGAUAAAGGAAUCUGCGCCAAGGGGAACUAGCGAUGAAUUUUCAGGAAGUUUGGAUUGAAAACGUGCGUUUUGGUACUCUGGUUGGCAGGUUCCCGGUUAACAUUUCUGGAUCCACUAGGGCGGAGGUUUACUACCGCAAUCCGUUAUCCAUCGUGGAAAACUCGGCUCCAAAUUAAUGCAAUGUGGAAUAUGUCUUUGAUAUUCAUUGGCAUUUCAGUGGCACGAAUCUUCAAUCUAUCAUAUUGAUUAAAGUUGUAGAUUCAAUAUUGAUUCAUUAAAUAAAUGAGAUAUGUACCUACUA